rnacentral:lncRNA from 1 species
GGGGGUUCUGGUGCUGGAGAUACAAUGACAAACAAGAUCAAUUCUUGUCCAAUCCUUAUAGAGUUUACAGGCUACUGGGGUGGGGCGGGCGAUAAACAAGCAAGCGAGUACAUCAGUGGAUCCAGAUGGUAAACAGCACCAAGAAGGAAUUCACAAGCCGCUGGAGGAGGAACACCGAGGAUGGUCUGCACUCCUAAUCUAUUCUGUUUUACUUGGUGAAAUGAUUGCAAGUGAAGUUGGAAGACAAAGGAGAAGCGUGUCCGUAACUAUGUAAUGGGUACAUCGAAAAGCAAGACUGAGGGGUGAAAUCAUGAAAGCAAUGUUUACUUUUCUUCUACUACCCUUUGAAACCUUCUCAAAGAGGUUUAGAGGUAUCCCUCCUUUGCUCCUGGAUGAAAAAUCAGGCCAUCUCCAAGACUGUCUGGUCACUGUUUUGUAAUAGAAAAUACUACCAACACUUUAGGAUUCAAAAGCAAAAUAAAUUAGGAAACCAUAAUGCUCAGUCCACAUGAUACACAACUCCAGGUUGACAUCGCAUGACAUCUUCAACCCCUUGCCUCUGCCGACCUAUAGUGGCAGCAGCAUAGGGGCUGGAGGAAAAUGGGUUUUAUUCUUCUCUAUUUCUCUGUUUUGCUUGCCAGGUUUCUGACCUGGACAUGGUCAAGGGUGGUGAAGAGGGAGGAGAUGUAAGGAAGGGGUGAGAAACAUUUUAUCUGAUUGCUGCUGCCAUAAAAUGGUGCCAUGGACCUGGCAACUGUUUAUAGCUCAUUCUUCUGUGAGAUUUUUAUGGGUUUACUGGGGUAAAAGAGGUCACUGAAAAAUUUGCUUAUGUUCCUCAAAAUGAAGAUGAUAUGUUUUUCUUCUGAAUAAUUACAAGAAAACACUCAAUAACUAGCAUUUUUUAAACCUGCUGGAAAAACUGAUGACAUAUCCGCAGAGAGCAAAGAAUGUGUCAUUCCACGUGUAGUCUUACAAUGGAGACAGAUCAGGCAGGGUUCAUUUUCUGUCUCAUUUUGUGCAUGUGACUUACCGAUGUCCCUGUUCCUCCCUUUGCUGAGCCUGAACGUCCAAUCCUCUGAAGCCUGUUCCAUGGAGACAGUGUGCUCCCAGUGCUGUCUGCAGGGGCACUGAGCAAGGAAGAGAACCCCUAUUCCUACUAAAGAGAGGUGUUGCUGGCAUUGAACCUUGGAACUCUGAUCACUUUUUUUUUUUAAGUGACAGGGUCUCGCUCUGUCGCCCAGGCUGGAUUAAAGUGCUGUGAUCACAGCUCACUGCAGCCGUGAAGACCUAGGCUCAAGGGAUCAGCCCUCCUCAGGCUCCAGAGUGCCUGGGGCUACACACCCAGCUAAUUUUUAAAAAAGUUUUGUAGAGACAGGAUCUUUGUAUGUUGCCCAGGCUAGACCACAUUUUUCUGUAGAAAUAAUGAGUCGCAGAAUUUAGGAAAUGGGAGAAUAUUACUGCCCCACUGGAUUUGGGGAAUCUCGGCUCUUAACAGAAACUGGGCUUAAUCAUUCAAAAUGAAGUUGGUUUCUUUCACACCUGGGUUUGCAGACUGAGCCACCUGGUGCGCCCCACUCCCGCUGCAUCCUUCUGCCUGCAUGGCAGACCCACGUGCAACUCAAACAAUGUUUAUGAUUUUCUAAUAUCCCUCCUUUGUAGCUAGCACCACAUCUGCACAGAAUUGAAGGAAUGUUAAAGGAUCAAAGGAAUAUAAACUAGACGGUAGAACACUGACAUGCUCUGUUUUCCAGGUUUUUCCUACUGGUCCGGGGGUAAUGCAAUGUCUGAGGCAGACCAUAAUUUCACUCGUAUGCAGGAGAUUAAAAAAAAAAAAAUGAACUCAGCCUGGUGCAGUGGCUCACGCCUAUAAUCCCAGCACUUUGGGAGGCCAAGGUGGGCAGAUCACGAAGUCAAGAGAUUGAGACCAUCCUGGCCAACAUGGUGAAACCCCGUCUCUACUAAAAAUACAAAAAUUAUCUGGGCGUGGUGCUGCAGCCCUGUAGUCCCGGGUACUCGGGAGGCUGAGACAGGAGAAUCACUUGAACCAGGAGGCGGAGGUUGCAUUGAGCCAAGAUCGUGCCACUGUACUCCAGCCUGGCUACAGAGCAAGACUCUGUCUCAACAACAACAACAAAAAAAAAAAAAAAAAAAAAAAGAAAGAAAGAAAAAAAUGAACUAACGUAACUAAAGAGUAGAAUAGAGCCUGGGAGAGGUGCUGAUGGGGAGAAGAAAGGAUGGGGAGAGGUUGGUUAUGGGAUACGAAAUUACAGCUAGUGGUUCAUGCCUAUAAUCCCAACACUUUGAGAGGCCAAGGCGGGCGGAUCUCCUGAGGUCAGGAGCUCAAGAGCAGCCUGGCCAACACGGAGAAACUCCAUCUCUACUACAAAAAUUAGCCAGACGUGGUGGCGCAUACCUGUAAUCCCAGCUACUUGGGAGGCUGAGGCAGGAGAAUCACUUGAACCCGGGAGGCAGAGGUUGCAGUGAGCCAAGAUCGUACCAUUGCACUCCAGCCUGGGUGACAGAGCAAGACUCUGUCUCAAAAAAAAAAAAAAAAAAUUACAGCUAGAUAAGAGGCAUGAGUUCUGGACUUCUGCAGCACCACAGAAUGAAUAUGGUUAAUAAUAAUUUAUUGUAUAUUUUCAAAGAAGUAGAAAAGAAGAUUUUGAAUGUUCACAACACAAAGAAAUAAUAAAGGUUUGAGCUGGUGGAUUUGUUACCCUGAUUUGAUCAUUAUACAUUGAGUACACAAAUAUCACUAUGUAUCCCAUACAUAUGUAUAAUUAUCAUGUGUCAACUAAAAAUAAAAAGCAUAAAAAACCCAAAGAUAUUUGGCUACCAAGUUCUUGGUAGACGUGGAGCCUCAAGAUCAGUUCUGGGUGGAUUGUGAGUAUCUUCUAGACAUCCCUCAAGCCAUUCCAAUUUCUUUUCGACUUUCAGCAUUUCCUCUUGUCAGAGUUUGUAUUCAGCUUAUGAAGCAACCAUUUUAACUAUUUUUCUAGAAUCUCAGUAGUUGCCUUCCUGAGCAAGUCAUUACCACGAGG